UACGGGGGGAGCAAGCGUUGUUCGGAUUUACUGGGCGUAAAGGGCGCGUGGGCGGUCAGCACAAGUCAGUUGUGAAAUCUCCGGGCUUAACUCGGAAAGGUCAACUGAUACUGUGCGACUAGAGUGCAGAAGGGGCAACUGGAAUUCUCGGUGUAGCGGUGAAAUGCGUAGAUAUCGAGAGGAACACCUGCGGCGAAGGCGGGUUGCUGGGCUGACACUGACGCUGAUGCGCGAAAGCCAGGGGAGCGAACGGG
rnacentral:rRNA from 1 species